GCGAUUGAUAAGACCACGGCUCGACAUCUUGGCAUAUUGGAUGACUUUUUGCUGGAGUGGAGAGAUAUAGAUUCUCGCGCAAAUCUUUAAUAUAUUUAAAUAGCCUUGCAUAGCCAACACUACCAAUCGAGGACCUGGCCUCAGUUCACUCCAGACUAUUUGCGUAGCCCUCCGUUUUUUUCAAAUGGUAGUUUUAUCUAGGCUAUAGGCCUAAUGCUGGAGAUGCUGAGCACAUCACAGUCGUUUCAGAUGACCCAUCCAAGAUUUGUAUCGGCCUCCUAUCAUACAAAGAGCAAUAUUGUCUGAGUACUAUGCCGAGAGGCAUUUACAACAUAAAGUAUAAAAUAGUCCUAACGGACUUGCAUCCACUGGAGAAUGUUCGAUCGUAGCCGGCGGCUUCAUUACAAGCACUGAUCCAUCUUGAUCUGUGAAGUUGAUGAAUUGUCACUUUUAGUGUGGGGUAUGGCCCAUGACUCUCUGAGGUGGUAGGUACCUCCAGGUAGGCUACCCCCUCCAUGCCAGGGCGCCCUGAAUUUAUGUUUAUCAACAGCUCCUCCACCGGGGUCAAGACAAUUUGAGGGCCGGAUCCAGUCUGCCAACUGUCGGCCUUUUCACGAUUGGCUUAAAAAAAUGGCUUAUUUAAAUUUAUACCAAUACGAUGGUGGGAAAAGCUUACCAGUUUGUAUGUUUUUUAUAGGCCUACUUCAUUUUUAUACUUGAUCCUCUGACCGCUUGGAAGCAAUCGGAGUACAUAUUGUUUUAGAAGAAAGGGGUUAUGUGGUAGGAUCUUUAAGAAUGCUUAACUGGGAUAUUUAUAUAUUCAUGGCUCAAAUAUUAAGGAUCAUGCUUUUGACGUGUAACUAACGCAUUUACGCGGUCAGCGAUCCGCUGCCAGGCUUUGGUUCUCCGGGUUCCAGAGGUUUUAGCGUUCCCUUUUCUUGUGAUAAUGUCCUUCUCCUCGUCAUAGCUCUCCAGGAGAACCUGGAGUUCCAUUUCAUUGAAAUAAGCGGCCCGUUUCGCCAUAUCGAUCAGGGUUUCCAUGAUCCAUACAUCACGUCUUUAUAAGUUUGGCGUGGACGCGCACAACCCUGUGUUAACCAACCCCGAGUUGAUUGAACUAAUGCAUAACCGCUG